rnacentral:rRNA from 1 species
AUGGCGUGCCACCUCGUCGCCGCCUGCGUCCCGCGCCUCGCCGUCGUGGCAUCCUCCGCCUCCGGGGAUCCCGUCCGCCGUAUCCGGCGGCGCGCGCCGGGGUCGCGUUCCCAGAAGGCCCCCACGGCGGCUCCGCCCCAGCCGUCCGUCGCGGAGGUGCGGCGCGCCAUCGGGGCCGCCGACGACCCGUCCGCCUCCGGGAGGGACAAGCAGUCCGGUUUCAUGGAGCUCCUCGCCUCCACGCCGAUCGGGCAGCCGGAGAGCGACGCAGAGCGCCGAAUCCGUGAGGCCGCCGAGUGGGUGGUCGACAACACCGAGGCGCGCGCACAGGAAGGGCAAAAGUCUAUCUUGGUGCUAUGCAUGAAGAUCUUUCCUCUGUGGCUGUUCCUCAUGCUUACUGCCCUUGGAGUUAUAAAUUUACCAUUUGAUAUUCCCGGUCUGGAUAUGGAUGAUCUCCUAAUGUAA